CGCCGUCUCUCUUCCCCCCUUAUUAGUUAGUGCCAUAGAAGUAGCGAGAACGGAGAGAGAGCGAGACGGGAAAGAAGCACUCUGAAACGCGAUUUCCUCCUCCUCCUCCUCUCUCUCUCCUUCGCUAGGGUUUCUUGAUCGGUUCCCAAUGAAGCGAGAUCGCACCGUCGACUACCCAAACUCUAGCUGCCUCACGGUCGCCGUUGCGGAUUCUCGAUCCGCCCAACUCUACUCUUGAGCCGAUUCGUCGGAGGUAUUCUGUCGUUGCUUGUUUGUUUCGGAUCCGAUUCGUCCCGGAUCCUCGUCUGAUUCCGUUCUGCCUGUGGUUCCACUCAAUCGUCGAUCGUACUUCUUUCCUCCUUGGUUCUCUGAUUUUUGAUGAUUUAGAGGCUGUGUUCCCCGCUGCUCUUGCCGAAUAGAGGGAGUCUCGGUAUGAUCGCGGUAUAGAUGCCGCCUUGCACGGCGGUUUUUGAUCGGGUUUGAUAAUGGAUGAGACUGCAAAGAUGGAGAGCCAUUUGUCUUCGGCUGUGGCUUUUUUGGAAGGAGGUAUUCAGGAUGUUUGUGAUGAUGCAUGCAGCAUCUGCCUUGAAGCAUUCUGUGAAAGUGAUCCAUCAACGGUUACUAGUUGCAGGCAUGAGUUCCAUCUACAGUGUAUUCUUGAAUGGUGUCAGAGAAGCUCCCAAUGCCCAAUGUGUUGGCAGCGCAUCAGUUUAAAGGAUCCCACCAGCCAAGAGUUACUGGAGGCUGUAGAGUGGGAGAGGAGCUUUAAAGUUGAUAAUACAAAGACUACCACCAUAAUUCAGCAUCCAGCUUUUGGAGAUUUUGAAUUGCAUCAUUUGCCUGUUGGUGGAAGUCAUGCCGAAAUGGAAGAGCAUAUUUUUCAGCACUUAGCUGCUGCUGCUUCCAUGGGAAGGGCACACCGCAUUGCUGGAAGAGAAGGUCGGGUUAGAUCAGGAUCUCAUGGCCGUCCACAGUACCUGGUUUUCUCUACAAAUUCAGAUGCAGCUUCUGUGGGCUCCAUAUCUUCUUCCUCUCCUCCAAGAGGAGAAAAUGAAGUUGCUCCUGCAAUAGUUGCUGCUAACCCAACAAUGCCCCCCGCUACUCUAGUAGGGGAAUUUUCUGAACUAACAAGUGUUGCCCCAACUCAUGCAAGUGAGGUAGCUACAUUGACAUCUGAGUCCCGCAAUAGUCAGAUGAGGUCAAGCAUUUCAUGUCCAAGGACACCUGCUAGCCAAUCAUCUCGAGUUCACCAAGUUGGACCAGGGCCAUCAGACUUCCAAUCCUUCUCAGGAUCCCUGAAAUCUCGCUUGAGUGCUGUCUCGAUGAGGUACAAGGAAUCAAUCACUAAGAGUACUCAAGUAUGGAGGGAGAGAUUAUUUUCACGUAAUGGGCUUGUGGCAGAUAUUGGUUCUGAAGUCAGGAGAGAAAUUAGCGUCGGAAUUGCUACUGUGUCACGGAUGAUGGAGCGCUUAGAUGCAAGAGAGAGAACAGCUGGUACUUCUGCCUCACCUGUUGCUGAAGGGUGCUCAGUUGUAGAACGAAGUAAUGAUGGUGAUAUUGUCAAUCAUGCAAGUGCUCAUCCAAACAAUGGCACUACACCAUCUUCUUAGGUUACAGGUCCCAAUUAAGCUAUUUUUCAUUUUGAAGGAUCCGAGCGUGCUCCAGCUUUCAACAUUAAAGGGGUAUCCCAACAAUGGAAUAAGCUGCGGUUUGGUCUACACGUCGGCGUGCAACGACGACAAGCUGAUGUGCUGAUAAGGGUUCAAAGGUAGAACAGCUGAUAGUUUGCUGAUUGAUUUGGUUCUCGUUAUGGUGAUAUGUGCGUCUGUUUUAAUUUUCUUAUUGUGUCACUGCUUUCUGAUAAUUCGAAUUGGUGGCUGAGGCCGUCACUUGUUGUGUCA